rnacentral:rRNA from 1 species
UACGUAGGUGGCAAGCGUUGUCCGGAAUUAUUGGGCGUAAAGCGCGCGCAGGUGGUUUCUUAAGUCUGAUGUGAAAGCCCACGGCUCAACCGUGGAGGGUCAUUGGAAACUAGGGAACUUGAGUGCAGAAGAGGAAAGUGGAAUUCCAAGUGUAGCGGUGAAAUGCGUAGAGAUUUGGAGGAACACCAGUGGCGAAGGCGACUUUCUGGUCUGUAACUGACACUGAGGCGCGAAAGCGUGGGGAGCAAACAGG